AUUGAACGCUGGCGGCAGGCUUAACACAUGCAAGUCGAGCGGAAACGAUGAUAGCUUGCUAUCAGGCGUCGAGCGGCGGACGGGUGAGUAAUACUUAGGAAUCUACCUAGUAGUGGGGGAUAGCACGGGGAAACUCGUAUUAAUACCGCAUACGACCUACGGGAGAAAGGGGGCAGUUUACUGCUCUCGCUAUUAGAUGAGCCUAAGUCGGAUUAGCUAGAUGGUGGGGUAAAGGCCUACCAUGGCGACGAUCUGUAGCUGGUCUGAGAGGAUGAUCAGCCACACCGGGACUGAGACACGGCCCGGACUCCUACGGGAGGCAGCAGUGGGGAAUAUUGGACAAUGGGGGAGACCCUGAUCCAGCCAUGCCGCGUGUGUGAAGAAGGCCUUUUGGUUGUAAAGCACUUUAAGCAGUGAAGAAGACUCCGUGGUUAAUACCCACGGACGAUGACAUUAGCUGCAGAAUAAGCACCGGCUAACUCUGUGCCAGCAGCCGCGGUAAUACAGAGGGUGCAAGCGUUAAUCGGAAUUACUGGGCGUAAAGGGAGCGUAGGUGGCUCUAUAAGUCAGAUGUGAAAUCCCCGGGCUUAACCUGGGAACUGCAUCUGAAACUGUAGAGCUAGAGUAUGUGAGAGGAAGGUAGAAUUCCAGGUGUAGCGGUGAAAUGCGUAGAGAUCUGGAGGAAUACCGAUGGCGAAGGCAGCCUUCUGGCAUAAUACUGACACUGAGGCUCGAAAGCGUGGGUAGCAAACAGGAUUAGAUACCCUGGUAGUCCACGCCGUAAACGAUGUCUACUAGUCGUUGGGUCCCUUGAGGACUUAGUGACGCAGCUAACGCAAUAAGUAGACCGCCUGGGGAGUACGGCCGCAAGGUUAAAACUCAAAUGAAUUGACGGGGGCCCGCACAAGCGGUGGAGCAUGUGGUUUAAUUCGAUGCAACGCGAAGAACCUUACCUGGUCUUGACAUAUCUAGAAUCCUGCAGAGAUGCGGGAGUGCCUUCGGGAAUUAGAAUACAGGUGCUGCAUGGCUGUCGUCAGCUCGUGUCGUGAGAUGUUGGGUUAAGUCCCGCAACGAGCGCAACCCUUGUCCUUAGUUACCAGCGGGUUAAGCCGGGAACUCUAAGGAUACUGCCAGUGACAAACUGGAGGAAGGCGGGGACGACGUCAAGUCAUCAUGGCCCUUACGACCAGGGCUACACACGUGCUACAAUGGUAGGUACAGAGGGCAGCUACACAGCGAUGUGAUGCGAAUCUCAAAAAGCCUAUCGUAGUCCAGAUUGGAGUCUGCAACUCGACUCCAUGAAGUAGGAAUCGCUAGUAAUCGCGGAUCAGAAUGCCGCGGUGAAUACGUUCCCGGGCCU
rnacentral:rRNA from 1 species